UUGCAUCAGACGUGCAUUGCCAUGUGAAAUAGGAAUUUGUCAAUAAUUGUCAUCUUUUGAAAUAUAUACAUAAACAUAAAAGCCAUAAAGCCAUAUAGACUACAUAAAUGAUGAUAUAAGCCUACAGGUGUAGACCAUAGUUUAAAUAAAAAGACGUUUGCUUUGAAGUCACUCCGGGAACGUUUUCUUAUGUCCAGCUAAACUCAGUGAAAGUGAUUAAAUACUCACAUUUUGAACGGAUUUUACAUUCACGAGUAAAGAUUUGUUUAAUAACCUAUAUGUAUUUAGUUAUGUAUGUUAUUUUCCGCGGAUCGGCACAUAGUUGUUAUUAAGUUGUUAAAAAAUAGAUAUCGCCAGGGUGGAUUUAAAUUUGUUGUAAGGUCACAUGUCUUGAAAUUAAUAGAUAUAACUUUAACAUUUUAUACCAAUUAUAACGUGAAUAAAAUGUGUCCGAUGAGGGAAAAAAAACGAGAUUUAAAUGCUACGUACUCCACGCGCCCCCUGGAGGACAACCACUUUUUCCUCACGUACAGAUAUUAGCUAGCAACACUUGGAGCUAAAUGGAUUAUAGCUCGUGGAGAGUGCACUCUUAUUUGAGCUGACUUCAUCUCUCCUCGUGGUGUUGUGGCAUCAUGUCCAAGCAUGUUGUGCUCUCUGCUGGAUGUAAAGCAUGGAGGUCGCUCUCGUGCCCACGGUCAGAACUCUGGCUGGAUCUCACACUGGGAUGCGGUCAGACUUUUCGGUGGCGUGAGACUGCAGAUGGACACUGGACUGGUGUAAUGCGGGGGAGAGUGUGGACACUGACCCAAACAGAGAACAUGUUAUGGUACUAUGUGUAUGGUCAUCAGAUGAAUCCAGGAGCAGAAAGCGGACAGAAGUGUAAGGUCAAGGGGGAGAGAAGGUCAGGAGAAAUGAUGGAUAUAAAAGAGGAAGAGGAGAAAACGUGUACAGUGAUGUCAGAUCUUGACCACAAAGAUGAGGAACUUCUAAGGGACUAUUUCCAAUUGGAUGUUAAAUUAGAGGACCUCUACAGACACUGGAGCGCAGUGGACCUGCACUUUAAACAAAUAGCUAAUGUCUUUACAGGAGUGCGUAUGUUGCGUCAGGACCCCGGCGAGUGUCUUUUCUCAUUUAUUUGCAGCUCUAAUAACCACAUCUCACGGAUUCAGGGGAUGAUUGACAGACUGUGUCAGACACUCGGGACACCCCUCUGCACGCUGGAUGAUGUGGCCUACCAUGAUUUUCCCCCUCUGCCAGUUCUUUCAGAUGCUAGCGUGGAGAUGCGUCUGCGUGAUUUAGGUUUUGGCUACCGUGCACGCUUCCUGCAACAGAGCGCUCAACUCAUCGUGAACUCUCACGGCCCGGACUGGCUCAAGUCGCUCCGCAGCGUUGCCUACCUGCAGGCCAGAGAUGCGCUCCGGGCCCUUCCUGGAGUAGGUCUCAAAGUGGCCGACUGUGUGUGUCUGAUGUCACUUGACAAGGCUGAGGCUGUUCCUGUGGACACACACGUGUGGCAGAUCUCCAAACGUGACUACAACUGCGCCGCCGGUAGCAGCCAAAAGACCCUGACCGAUAAAGUCUACAAAGACAUUGGUGAUUUCUUUAGAAACCUCUGGGGUUCUUAUGCUGGCUGGGCUCACUCGGUACUUUUUUGUGCUGAUCUUAAAAGAUUUCAGAAGCUGAAGGAAGACAUUCCUGUCCUGAAGGAUGAGAAGGAGCCAAAAAAGAUCAAAGAAAAAAGAGAUGAUAGAGAUGAAGAAAAACAGAAAAAGAGGAAAAACAGCAAAAAGCGUCAGAGGACAUGACUUAUGAUACUGCAGAUCAUCUGAUCCAUUCACACUUUAAAGGGAUAGUUCACUCCAAAAUGAAAACUGUCAUCAUUUACUCACCCUCAUGUAAUUUCAUAUCUGUAUAAAUUACUUUGUUCUGUUGAACGCAAAGAAAGAUAUUUGGAAGAGUGUUAGCAAUUUUCAGUUCUGGGACAUCAUUGAAUACCAUAGUAGGAAAAAUUAAAAUGGUUGUGAAAGGUGCCCCAGAACUGUUUGUUUUCCUUAAUUCUUCAAAAUAAAUGUAUACAGAUUUGACCGUAAUUGAUGACAGAAUUUUCAUUUUUUUACGACCUUUAAAGUAGUUCACUUCAAAAUGUGACCCCAUUGACUUUCCAUAGUAAUUUUUAUUCCUACUGUGGAAAGUCAAUGGGGGCAAAUUAUGAAUUUACUCAUUAAAUAAGUGUACUCAUUUAAUACAACGUGAUUAUUAGUGUAGUGAAUGAAUUUGUUGCAUUUGUGUGGAUUACAAACUGAUUCAUUUUAUUUGUGAUUUUAAAGCAAAGGAAAACGUGUUUGUGUGUAUGCACAGCUGUAUGCUUUCAGACGUGCUGCAUAAAUCUGCAUUUCAACACACUUAAGAGUUUGUUGUUCUAUCAGGCUUUGUGAACCAGUCAGUAUAAAACUCGUUAUGAAGUUAAGAGUUUGAAAAAUCUACAAUUCACCUCCUUCAGGUGGUGCAACCAUCCUGCACACAUUUCAUUUUGUCAUCAACUAACCCAGGGGUGUGAAACUUCUGAAGAGCCACAGAAGCCAAAUUUGUAACCCCAACUGAACACUCAAGAACAAGCUAAUAUGCAUUGCCUGAAAAUUACAGGCAAUUAGUUUGAGUGAAAACUUUUAUUGACUAACCCUUCAUAUCCAUCUAUACUGUAUUCCCUGCAGAAGUACAGUGAGGGACAACUAGGUGGCCUUAUAGUUGAAGUCAUUGAGUCUGGUUUUAAAGACUGUUCACCGCAGUCCAUUAUAAAGGCCUUAUCCUUUGAACCCUAAACAUUCUCAGAUCCAAAUCUUACGGAGAUUGGACAAAAUAAUGUUUUAACACACCUAGCCAGCAACUGACACCUUUGUGGUGUAGGCCACUUCAAUUAAAUCUGUGUCUGCUGCCAUGUUUUUAAAAAAAUUAUCAUCUACACUCUAAAAAAAAAAAGGUUCCUUUAGGUUCUAUAUAGAACCCUGGGGUUCUGUACUUGGCAAAUAGAACCUUUUACAAAAAAAAAGGUUCUAUGUAGAACCCUUGGAGGGCAAAGAACCUUUUUAAUAAAAUGGUUCUAUAAUUCAUGUUUUGUGACUGAAGUGUAAACUAAAGAUAACACAAUAAUUAUAGACCUACACAACACAUUUUGUGUCAAAAAGGAGAGUGACUGCUGUGGUCAAAAACAAGAGUCAACGAAAUAUUAAUAUUGUAUUAUAAUAUUAAUAUAAAGUGUACUGUUUAUUUCCUGUAAACUUUUUUAUGCAAGCAUAAUACAUUUUCUAAUACAUUAUUGUUUGCCUUUUUGGUAAAUCAUUUUGUAUAUCCAGGUGUUUUCUUUAUUUUGUACCAUAUCAUAUUGUCAAUGUUUAAUUUAAUCCGAAGGGGGCAUUAAAAACAAAUAAUCGCAAAAAUGCCCUCUGGUGGCGUAUUAUGUGUUGCACCAUCCUUGAAUUCCUAUUGGUGGAUUGGCGAAGAUGAACCUCGAGACAGUGACAGUUUAUUUUUAAAACUGAGGAGUCCGCCAUUUCUGCCCGUUCAUACCCUCGGGUAAGUAAAGUUUUUACAUUUUUGAAACUAUAUUACCGAAAUAUUUAGUAUAAUAAGUUGAUAUUUAUAUUUGUUAGAGUAGCCCUAGUGUUAAAUAGUUAUACUAAAUAUAAUAUUUACCUCAGUUAAAAAUACUGCUGGUAACGUUAGCACUGACGGGCUUCGUCAGCCGUCGGGUCAGAAAGUGCUGUUAAACUGAUUUUGCUCCUGUUUUUAAUGAAUUAAGUUACAUUUUCCCUUUAUUUACUUGUCAUUGUUAAUUAAAUUGGCAAUAUAAGACAGCUGUGUUAUAAGGCGACGAGAUAGACAGAAGCGUAAUUUCAAUGAAGCGCGUGGUCGCUGUUCGUUAACGGUAAGAUAACGAUAAAAGCAAACCGGGUGGAAGACGGAGGGAUAUGAUAUGUGAACGUUUGUCACAGUUUUAUACAUACUCCGUGAGUAUUUUUUCACAGGCCUAUGUUAACAGGUGUAUAAGUUCUUAAGUUUGGGCCGCGGCCCGCACGGUCCAUUUUCGUGCUGUCAGGCUCCUCCAACCCUGAUCAAACUUAACUGCCUGCCUGUUACUCUUCAGUAAUCCUGAAGAUUUUGAUUAGCUUGUUCAGGAGUGUUUUAUUAGGGUUGGAGCUAAACUCUGAAGGAAAGUGGACACUGCUGGCCACAGCUGAGAACUUCCCGCCGGUCUGCAUUAAAGCUGUACGAUUGCAGUGCUCUGCAGCGUUCGUAUCCGCACCGAGUCUGCGUAUAUGUUGGUUACUCAGAAAUGUCAAUUUUUUAAAUGAAAUUUCACAAAUGAAUUGCAAAUGGAAUAGAAAAUAUGAUCCAGAUGUCUACUCUAUUUCUAAUCAAGUUAUUUUAUCAUGUGGGAUUCAACGCCUGGAGUCAUUUUGAUUACCACGCACACUAUUUUUCUAAUUGAACAUUUUGUUUCGGAAAAUACAUCACUAUAGUCAAUUGCAGCCUCCAAUUCAUGCUGACUUUUAAGUAACUUGUUUGUCUGAUAGUGUGUAAUUUGGAUAUAUGCACCUGAAGUAAACAAUUUUUUUGUGUUUAAGAUGCUGCAUGAAAUGACAAUGAGGUUUGGAACAGACUUGGCGAAGAACAUGGAAACAUCUCUAAAUGAAAUGGCCCCAAACAUCAUCAGGAGUGCAAAAGAAGGAAGUCAAAGGAAACUCUAUGCCAAUCUCAUUGGACCAGCAGAGGAAACCACAGAAGGUCUUGUUAGGAGUGCUGCACUCAUUUUAUUGCCAUCAUUAUUUAAAGAAAACGCCAGCUUCCUCUACAGUGUAAAUAUUGAACCCAAAGGUCCUACACCAACCAUAGUGUUUAACGGCUCUCCUGAUCCCCUCAAAGCUGAAAGUGUCAGCAUUAUAAUGGACAACGUGAACAUCAUAAGAGAGGCAGACAUUGACAUGACACAGGCUGUGGAAUGCCUGUUUGCGGUCUAUUUUCUUUUCAAUGUUCAAUACCCAGUUGCCAUUAAGAACACAAUGACUUUUAUUCAAAAAUAUUUGCUUAAACUUAAGUCUCCUCACGACACAAGAACACCAAUACCUGUACUAAAAAUGUACUGUACAAUCAACUUGUGUAAAUUGUAGUGCUAUUUAAUAUGUUUUAAUUGUUCAUGAAAUGUUUUUAUCUGCAUUGUGAUUCUUUUCCUCAUUUCAGAGAUGCAUAAAGUUAAGUACUGUACUUAAACAAGCUUAUGUAUGUUUAUAAAAAAAGUGAAUAAUUUAAACAAAAUGGUUGAAUGCAAUGUAAUUAAAGUGUAAAGUUUAGCUGUUUAAUACAGAGAUGCAAUUUUAAAAUAUGUGUUUGUUUAUGUACAUGCAGUGCA